rnacentral:lncRNA from 10 species
CUGAGCUCCUGAAUCAUUAGGAUGGACGCGCCAUCAACAGAAUCUGCUUUUAGUGGAAUGGGUCUUCGGAUAAUCUGUUUUCAUCACAUCAAGAGCUAAGCCAGUCAGUUAACACAGAGGAAAUAUUAAAGGCAGUAUUUUUUCAUUAAGGCAGUCCAGCUCAGUGCCAAGAGAAAUCCCCUAGGAUCAAGAUUUUUCUCACAAGGGGAGAUGAUACCAUAGUGAGUGUCCAGCUUCCCC